GUGAAAGAGGUUUCUUGUUGAUUUAGAAUUGGUUGUUAGAUUUUUUUUUUCUUUUGUUUGUGUAUUUGCUAGAUUUUUUUAAACUUAAUUGGUAAUCUUCUGGGAAAUAACACUUAUGUUUAAUAAAUGAGCAUACCUAGCUUGAAAGAAGUUGAUUUGGAAUAUCAACUCAUUUGCUUGAUCUUAGAAAACUUGUUAUGUUGAUUGAAUUUGAGUUGACUUUGAAGUUUUCAUUUUCCAAAUGGUCAUUUCUAUUUGAGUCUUGACACACACUAUGCACCCUAGACCCUUGAUAUAAGAUGAAAGACUAGUCUAACUCUAAGACUUGGACUCAAUUGUCUUAGUAACUUGAAUCACUUUUAAAUUGAGUUGAGACACCUAAAAAAGAGGCAAAUGUGCCUAGUUGAAAAAAAUAAAUAAAUAAAAAUUUUGAUAAAUAAAAAUGUUGAGUUAUGUUUGCCUUGAAACUUGAGUAAGGUUCGAGGGAUGUAUGACCUAAAAGUCUUUAAAUUUUGGUGCCCUAAGCCAUUAUGGUUGGGAGCCACCGACCUCAAUGCUCUCUAAAUGGGUGAAUAAAUGGAGUAUGAGCUCAAUUGUAGGUGCUAAGGUAUUGGAUCCUAAAUUGUGGAGUCUGGGAUGAAGUCUGAGAAGUUAGUGGCUGAAUUAGUCCUAUAAACUUGGUGCCCUAUGUCUUAUGGUUGGGAGUCAUCGAUGAAUCCCCGCUACAUGGACUGUAUACUUGGAGAUACCUUUAGCAUUUCAUUCCUACAAUUAGACCUUUGAAAAAAAAAAGUAUAUAUAUAAAGAAAUAAAAGUAGGUGCGUUCUUGACCUAUGAGAGAGUGGUUUUUGUUGUUUAAGAUAAAUUGGCAUGGUUGGGGGGAGGAAUAGUUUUGAAUAUUAUAUCAGGGGGCUAGUUUAAUUUCACUCAAGACUUGUUUGGAAAUAUCAUUUUGGAGGUUGAAAAUGGAUAUGUCUUUGAUACUUUGAUUUGCAUGAUGUCUUUUCUAUUAGAAAUAGGAAAUGAGUUUGAGAUUUUGAUGACACCUAUGGAUGGUGAGGUGUGUUUCAUUUUUUACCAUUUGUGCUAUGGGAUUUUCAAAAACAUUUUCCAAAUGAGUUUAAGAACUUCUUUUUGAGUAAUUUUCUUUUUUUCUUUGUUAUACCAUUGCUAAGGGACUAGCAAUGUGUCGGUUAGGGAGAAUGAUUAAUACUCAAAAACCACACAUUUUAUAUACUAAUUCUCACAAGUUUCAUACCUUUUGAGUAGUAAUUAUGUCUAAUAUGCCCAAAUAAUACAUUGCUACCCUUGCAAGAGAUACUAAUGGUUUUGUGAAGUUUUGGAGAUAUUUUAAGGUGAUUUUUGAAGCAUUGAGUAACAAAAUAGAAAUGGAAUUGAAGAGGGUACACAAUGUGGAUGAUGAGGAAGAGACAAUGCACUUGGACCAAGCUUUGGAGUUGAAUUGAAGGUGAUGGAGGUGGAUUCAAAAGGAAGAAAUGGGAGAAAUGGCAAAAGGAAGUUGGAAAAUCAUGUUUUUCAAUUUCGCAUGAACAUGCGGAAAAUUCGCACAAUCGUGAGAAAUGAAACAGAAUGGGUUUUGGCUGCAGCACAAAAAGGAAAAAGUGAAAAUUGAUUUCGCAUGACCAUGCAAAAUUUUCGCACAGUCAUGCGAAAUGCUCUAGGAAGACAAAAUUCGUGCCAAUGCAUUUUCCAUUUCGCACAAUCAUGCGAAAUUGUUGGAGCUCAUGAGAAAUUGUAUUUUUUCCAGAUUUUCUUAGUGAAGAAGCCUCCGGAAGACCUUUUAGAUGAUGCCAAGUGUCCACUUGACCUUGGCCUAUAAAUAAAAACUUGAUUUACUCAUUUAAAGACUUUUUUACAUUUUUCUAAUUGUAGAACUUUCCAGAUUUUCUCUAUAUAGAAUUUUCUAUUUUCCUUAAUUUUCUCACUAGCCAAACAUGCCUUGUGAGAUCAAAUCUCCAAGCAUGAGUGACUAAAUCUCAUUUUUCUCGGAGGAGGGAGGAUCUAGAGGUAAGAUCUAUGGUGAAUUAGAGAAAUGAGCUUGAAUUGCAAAGGUAAUUUGAUCCAAUUGAUUGAUUAAUUGAAAUUUGAGGAUUUUUCUCUUCAAAUUUUCUUGGAUGAUUACUACAAUGCAAACUACGUAGAUUCAUCAAAUUCUUAAUGCUAGAUUUGAUGAGAUUGAAUAGCUGCAUUGUGUGAAUCAUUAGAAGAUAAUUUAAGAUGAAUUGAAUAUAUGAUUUGAAUUGAUCUCUUGGAUUAGAUGACCUAAUUUGAAGAGAAAUUAGAUCUAGACCUAAAGCUAAAUAAAAAAUCGGUUUAGAUGAAAAUUUAGGUUUUCAAUCUAACUUGAUGAAAAUUAGAUCUCAACAUUUAUUCACCAUGGAAAUUGCUUUCUAGAAAAUCCUAACUCCAAGAAUUUCAUUUUCUAUUAAUUUUAUUUUAUUUUACAUUUCAUUUUCCUCUCAAUUUGGAAUCAUUGUCA
rnacentral:lncRNA from 1 species